rnacentral:rRNA from 1 species
UUUGGAUUAAGACCACAUGGUACCAUUUUACGGCAUCGUAUUAAUGGUUAAAGGUUACGGUAGGGGAUGAGUAUGCGUCCCAUUAGUUAGUUGGCGAGGUAACGGCUCACCAAGACCGCGAUGGGUAGGGGCCCUGAGAGGGGGAUCCCCCACACUGGUACUGAGACACGGACCAGACUCCUACGGGAGGCAGCAGUGAGGAAUAUUGGACAAUGGGCGGGAGCCUGAUCCAGCCAUGCCGCGUGCAGGAAGAAUGCCCUAUGGGUAGUAAACUGCUUUUAUACGGGAAGAAAAAGAGCUACGUGUAGCUUACUGACGGUACCGUAAGAAUAAGGACCGGCUAACUCCGUGCCAGCAGCCGCGGUAAUACGGAGGGUCCGAGCGUUAUCCGGAAUUAUUGGGUUUAAAGGGUCCGUAGGCGGGCCGAUAAGUCAGUGGUGAAAGUUUGCAGCUCAACUGUAAAAUUGCCUUUGAUACUGUCGGUCUUGAGUUAUAGUGAAGUUGCCGGAAUAUGUAGUGUAGCGGUGAAAUGCAUAGAUAUUACAUAGAACACCGAUUGCGAAGGCAGGUGACUAACUAUAUACUGACGCUGAUGGACGAAAGCGUGGGGAGCGAACAGGAUUAGAUACCCUGGGAGUACACGCCGUAAACGAUGGAUACUAGCUGUCCGGGUCCUUGAUACCUGGGGCGGGCCAA